rnacentral:rRNA from 1 species
CUUGGUGACCAUAGCGAACGUGAACCACCCGAUCCCAUCCCGAACUCGGAAGUGAAACCGUUUAGCGCCGAUGAUAGUGUGGCAGUUUGCCAUGCGAAAGUAGGGAAUUGCCAAGCUCUUAAAUCAAAAACCCAAGCCGAAACGCUUGGGUUUUUUUUUG